rnacentral:rRNA from 1 species
CACGUAGGGGGCAAGCGUUUGUCCGGAUUUAUUGGGCGUAAAGAGCUCGUAGGCGGCCAGGUAGGUCAGCUGUGAAAACUCGAGGCUCAACCUCGAGACGUCGGUUGAAACCACCUGGCUAGAGUCCGGAAGAGGAGAGUGGAAUUCCGUGGUGUAGCGGUGAAAUGCGCAGAUAUCAGGAAGAACACCCGUGGCUAAGGCGGCUCUCUAGUACGGUACUGACGCUGAGACGCGAAAGCGUGGGGAGCGAACAGG